UCAAGGUGGCUCCAUAUGCAAUAAGCCCAAUGAUCUAACUGGUCUGUAUCAACAUACAAGCAUGCAAUGAGUCACUGCCAUUUAAUGUGGCGUGACAGGUUUAGCUUUAGACAAAAGUAAACAAAAAUUUUACGAAAUAAUCAAUCAUUUCAGAUUUCUUUCUGAUUACUGUGGUUGCUAGUUUCCUAGUAGUUAUUUGGAUUUGCAAUUGUGGGCCGCUUUCCUGAUGAUGAUAUUGAAGAAAUUGAAGAUUUUAGACUUGGGAAGGUACAUAGCCUUUGAUGAAUAUGAAGGGAUUGAGGUGGCAUGGAACCAGGUGAAGCUGUAUGACUUCUUACAGAGCCCUGAAGAUCUAUAGAAGCUUUACUAAACCUGGCAUUCAAUCGGCUGAGUCAGAAUAUUCCAUUCUCCUUAGCUUCCUUGAAAUCUCUCUGUUAUUUGUAAGUUCUUGUAAUCUGUGAGCAUGUUAAAGUCUCUGGUUUAUGAGUAGCCAGUUCAUAUUUGCCAACCGAUCUUUUUUCCAAGUGCAGAAAUCUGAGUCACAAUUCCCUCUCCGAUGCACAGCUAGAGAACUUCCUUGAUUGGUUGCCUUGUAUAAAACAAUGCUUUUAUGGAUCCUUUCAUGAUAUUCCAGCGGUUGUGACAGAUUUCAAUAUCGUUAGUUAUCUAGGAGGUUUCAAUUUUAGUAACCCUGCGAUCUUAUUGCCCUUCAUAGUUAACCAUCGUGUCUUCACUAGCUGAACACAAAAAGUUCCUCAUGCAUUUAUCAUUUUUCUCGUUGAUUGUCAAUGGCAACAUUUUCUUGACAUGGAUUACCUCUGGUUGAUAUCUUCCUUUUUUCUUUCUUUCUUUC